GGGUCGAUCCUCGUCUGACCGGGGAAAGGAAUCAAAAACGAAAGCUAUGUGAGGCACGAAAGGGAAGCAGCCACAGAAAGGGUUCGGUAGCGAGUAGUUGAUCGUGAUUGGGGAACGUCUCCGGGGUCGACGAGGCCGAAGAAACGAGGGGAAAGCAGCGAGGUUGCGCUCUUCCUCAUCGAGCUGCAAGAUGCGAAGAAAAGAGGAGGUCCAAAGGGAGUCUGAUCGGCAGCAACACCUCGCAGGUGGGAGCUUCGGUGGGGUUUGCUCGACGGAAGGAGAAGAGAAAGGUGCGAGAGCCUGCUUGGUCAUCGGUGGUAACAAGAGAAAGAAGGAAGAAAUCAGUAGGUGUUUUGUUGUUUCAUUCAAUAGGAAGAAGAAGAAGGAAAUCGAGUGUGGUUGUUUUCCCUUUGAUUGACUGACUUCACAAGAACUUUGGGGUGUUCUUGGCUGGAACGAAGGAGAAGAAGAAAGAAGAUGGGAUGUUGGUCACUUGUGUUUCAUUUGACAACUUUAAUUGAGAAAGGAAACACGUUUCCAUUGUGUUUGGAUUUGUCUAAAAAUUGUUUACUUUGUGUGCAGUUUUGGGUGUGUAAGAAUUAAUGGUUGUCAAAUUAGUGUAUCUAUGAAUCUUAUGGAGAGUACACACUCUAUUGUUCUAUCUUUGUAUUGUAUGGGUUGUUUGUGUAUAUAUUUCCAUACAUUGUUGGUCCUUUGGUGAAUAUGUUUAGACAUGUGUAUGUUUUUAUGUAUUUUUGUAACAAUUUCAUAUAUAAU